GUUAAUGUAGCUUAAUAGUAAAGCAAAGCACUGAAAAUGCUUAGAUGAGUAUCUACACUCCAUAAACA
rnacentral:tRNA from 1 species